rnacentral:rRNA from 1 species
AGAGUUUGAUCCUGGCUCAGAUUGAACGCUAGCGGGAUGCCUUACACAUGCAAGUCGAACGGCAGCGGGAAGAAAGCUUGCUUUCUUUGCCGGCGAGUGGCGAACGGGUGAGUAAUGUAUCGGAACGUGCCCAGUAGCGGGGGAUAACUGGCCGAAAGGUCAGCUAAUACCGCAUACGCCCUACGGGGGAAAGGGGGGGAUUCUUCGGAACCUCUCACUAUUGGAGCGGCCGAUAUCGGAUUAGCUGGUUGGUGGGGUAAUGGCCUACCAAGGCGACGAUCCGUAGCUGGUUUGAGAGGACGACCAGCCACACUGGGACUGAGACACGGCCCAGACUCCUACGGGAGGCAGCAGUGGGGAAUUUUGGACAAUGGGGGAAACCCUGAUCCAGCCAUCCCGCGUGUGCGAUGAAGGCCUUCGGGUUGUAAAGCACUUUUGUCAGGGAAGAAAAGGUUCUGGCUAAUACCUGGAACUGAUGACGGUACCUGAAGAAUAAGCACCGGCUAACUACGUGCCAGCAGCCGCGGUAAUACGUAGGGUGCAAGCGUUAAUCGGAAUUACUGGGCGUAAAGCGUGCGCAGGCGGUUCGGAAAGAAGGAUGUGAAAUCCCAGGGCUCAACCUUGGAACUGCAUUCUUAACUACCGGACUAGAGUAUGUCAGAGGGGGGGUAGAAUUCCGCGUGUAGCAGUGAAAUGCGUAGAUAUGCGGAGGAAUACCGAUGGCGAAGGCAGCCCCCUGGGAUAAUACUGACGCUCAUGCACGAAAGCGUGGGGAGCAAACA